GACGAACGCUGGCGGCGUGCUUAACACAUGCAAGUCGAACGGAAAGGCCCUGCUUUUGUGGGGUGCUCGAGUGGCGAACGGGUGAGUAACGCGUGAGUAACCUGCCCUUGACUUUGGGAUAACUUCAGGAAACUGGGGCUAAUACCGGAUAGGAGCUCCUGCUGCAUGGUGGGGGUUGGAAAGUUUCGGCGGUUGGGGAUGGACUCGCGGCUUAUCAGCUUGUUGGUGGGGUAGUGGCUUACCAAGGCUUUGACGGGUAGCCGGCCUGAGAGGGUGACCGGCCACAAUGGGACUGAGAUACGGCCCAGACUCCUACGGGAGGCAGCAGUGGGGAAUAUUGCACAAUGGGCGGAAGCCUGAUGCAGCAACGCCGCGUGCGGGAUGACGUCCUUCGGGUUGUAAACCGCUUUCGCCUGUGACGAAGCGUGAGUGACGGUAAUGGGUAAAGAAGCACCGGCUAACUACGUG
rnacentral:rRNA from 1 species